GGUGGCUCAGUGGUAGAACGCUUGCUUUGCAUGCAUGAGGACCUGGGUUCAAUUCCUCAGCACCA
rnacentral:tRNA from 1 species